UGCCGGGGUGGUCCAGGGGUAGGUCGAGGACGCUGAUUCCUUGGACUGCGUCGCAGUGGAAGGCGAUGGCAUGUUCAGCGCAGGUCUCGGCGA
rnacentral:tRNA from 1 species